rnacentral:rRNA from 1 species
UCCCAGCAGUCCAAGUCGCAGCCACAAUUAUUGGGUCUAAAACAUCCGUAGCUUGCUUUGUAAGUUCUUUGUGAAAUCUGGCCUCUUAAGGGUCGGGCGAGCAAAGAAUACUGCUUGGCUAGAGACCGGUAGACGCAUCAAGUACUAAAAGGGUAGCGGUAAAAUGUGUUGAUCCUUUUGGGACUAACAACAGCGAAGGCAUGAUGCGAGCACGGUUCUGACAGUGAGGGAUGAAGGCUAGGGGCGCAAAGUG